rnacentral:rRNA from 1 species
UACAGAGGGUGCGAGCGUUGUUCGGAAUUAUUGGGCGUAAAGGGCGCGUAGGCGGUGCGGUAAGUCACCUGUGAAAUCUCCUGGCUCAACUGGGAGCUUGCAGGCGAAACCGCCGUGCUGGAGUGUGGGAGAGGUGCGUGGAAUUCCUGGUGUAGCGGUGAAAUGCGUAGAUAUCGGGAGGAACACCUGUGGCGAAAGCGGCGCACUGGACCAUAACUGACGCUGAUGCGCGAAAGCUAGGGGAGCAAACAGG